ACAGGGAUUACCUCAGUAACGGCGAGUGAAGCGGUAAAAGCUCAAAUUUGAAAUCUGGCUCUUUUAGAGUCCGAAUUGUAAUUUGUAGAAGAUGCUUCGGGUGUGGUUCCGGUCUAAGUUCCUUGGAACAGGACGUCAUAGAGGGUGAGAAUCCCGUAUGUGACUGGAUACCUAUGCUCAUGUGAAGCUCUUUCGACGAGUCGAGUUGUUUGGGAAUGCAGCUCAAAAUGGGAGGUAUAUUUCUUCUAAAGCUAAAUAUUGGCCAGAGACCGAUAGCGCACAAGUAGAGUGAUCGAAAGAUGAAAAGCACUUUGGAAAGAGAGUUAAACAGUACGUGAAAUUGUUGAAAGGGAAGCGCUUGCAAUCAGACUUGCACUUGGUGUUCAUCAGGGUCUCGUACCCUGUGUACUUCAUCAAGUUCAGGCCAGCAUCAGUUUGAGUGGUUAGAUAAAGGCUUAGAGAAUGUGGCCCUCUUCGGGGGGUGUUAUAGCUCUAGGUGCAAUGUAGCCUACUUGGACUGAGGACCGCGCUUCGGCUAGGAUGCUGGCGUAAUGGUUGUAAGCGACCCGUCUUGAAACACGGACCAAGGAGUGUACCUAAUAUGCGAGUGUUUGGGUGUUAAACCCAUACGCGUAAUGAAAGUGAACGCUGGUGAGAACCCUUAAGGGUGCAUCAUCGACCGAUCUUGAUGUCUUCGGAUGGAUUUGAGUAAGAGCAUAUUGGGUGCGACCCGAAAGAUGGUGAUCUAUACGUGAAUAGGGUGAAGCCAGAGGAAACUCUGGUGGAGGCUCGCAGCGGUUCUGACGUGCAAAUCGAUCGUCAAAUUUGCGUAUAGGGGCGA
rnacentral:rRNA from 1 species